ensembl:lncRNA
AUUUGAGGAUGCCUGCUGGAAACCAUGCAUAUGAAUCACCAUUAACCACACAACACAUUACAAGUCCAAUAUGAUUUAGUGAGCAGCUUUAUGGAGGCUAAAUGCUCUAAAUGAACCAGUUAAACCCAUCUAUUGUGUAGCUAAACUAGUGUCUCUCGUGCCGGAUGUGGUUCGGUUUAGUCAUCACUUUCUCAAUAAUACUUGAUCUAAAUGAGAAGUUGUUACUGUGAGAGACCCCCUGUAAAGACCUUGUCUCAGACGACCACCGGGACAAGACCACAGGAAACAGAUGAUUCUUCUGCACAAUCUGACUUUGCUGCAGCCUGGAAUUGAACUGCUGGUUUCGUCUGGUCAGAGGAGAACUGGCCCCCCAACUGAGCCUGGUUUCUCCCAAGGUUUUUUUCUCCAUUCUGUCACUGAUGGAGUUUUGGUUCCUUGCCGCUGUCGCCUCUGGCUUGCUAAGUUGGGGACACUUCAUUUACAGCGAUAUCGUUGACUUGAUUGCAAAUGAUUGCACAGAUACUAUUUUAACUAAACUGAGCUGCAUGAUGACAUCACUGAAUUCAAUGAUGAACUGCCUUUAACUGUCAUUUUGCAUUAUUGACACACUGUUUUCCUAAUUAAUGUUGUUCCGUUGCUUUGACGCAAUCUUUUAUGUUUAAAGCACUAUAUAAAUAAAGAUGACUUGACUUGACUUGACUCAACUGCACAGACAUCCACAUCACUAUCAGCAGGUUAUGCCCCACACAUAUUCUGCUUGGUUAUCACUGUUGUACUGCUUUGAAACAAGUGCAUCUAUAUGUAAAAAUAUAAACUCUAGUUGUGGCUUUGUUUUUAGCCCUCGAUUUGUUGUACAACUAUAUUUGUAAAAUCAUUUUUGCAUAACUUGUGAAUUUCUUUUUCAGCAUGGAAAUACGAAACUGACCAUCAGAAAGCAUCUCGAAUGUUCUGUGAAGAAUUGCUUUCCCAAAGUUCGGACUGUCUAUCUUUGUCACUACAGAUCAACCAAUUUGAUACUUUGGAUGAGCAGGACAGUACACUGAUUUCAUUUUAUAAAAUGAACAGUGUAAACUGGUCAGCACCAUUGAAAUGUAGAUUGACAGGAGAUGCAGCUGUUGGCAAAGGAGUCAAUCGUCACAUCUUUUCAAUGAUUAUGCAAAAACUGAAGACUGGCUUCUCUUUAAAUUUGGGUUCUACUUCCACAACCCUUUUUGAGGGGGAAAAAAACCACCGUGUCCCCUCUGCAUCUGCUGUGCUACGUGACAGCAACCUUUUCCAAAUGGCUGGCCGAAUGAUAGGUCAUUCUUUUGUCCAUGGAGG